rnacentral:rRNA from 1 species
GCCAGCCCGCUCAGAAACUUAAAGGAAUUGACGGGGCCCGCACAAGCGGAGGAGCAUGUGGUUUAAUUCGAUGAUACGCGAGGAACCUUACCUGGGCUCGAACGUAAGAUGACUGUAGGUGAAAGCUUACAUCUCUUCGGAGCAUUUUACGAGGUGCUGCAUGGUUGUCGUCAGCUCGUGCCGUGAGGUGUCGGGUUAAGUCCCAUAACGAGCGCAACCCUACCUUUAGUUGCCAUCAGGUAAUGCUGGGGACUCUAAAGGAACUGCCUACGCAAGUAGUGAGGAAGGCGGGGAUGACGUCAAAUCAGCACGGCCCUUACAUCCAGGGCUACACACGUGCUACAAUGGCCGAUACAGAGGGCAGCUACCUGGUGACAGGAUGCAAAUCUCCAAAGUCGGUCUCAGUUCGGAUCGGAGUCUGCAACCCGACUCCGUGAAGUUGGAUUCGCUAGUAAUCGCGCAUCAGCCAUGGCGCGGUGAAUACGUUCCCGGGCCUU